rnacentral:rRNA from 1 species
AAACUGCGAAUGGCUCAUUAAAUCAGUUAUCGUUUAUUUGAUAGUACCUUACUACAUGGAUACCUGUGGUAAUUCUAGAGCUAAUACAUGCUGAAAACCCCGACUUCGGAAGGGGUGUAUUUAUUAGAUAAAAAACCAAUGCCCUUCGGGGCUCCUUGGUGAAUCAUAAUAACUUAACGAAUCGCAUGGCCUUGCGCCGGCGAUGGUUCAUUCAAAUUUCUGCCCUAUCAACUUUCGAUGGUAGGAUAGUGGCCUACCAUGGUGGCAACGGGUAACGGGGAAUUAGGGUUCGAUUCCGGAGAGGGAGCCUGAGAAACGGCUACCACAUCCAAGGAAGGCAGCAGGCGCGCAAAUUACCCAAUCCCGAUACGGGGAGGUAGUGACAAUAAAUACUGAUACGGGGCUCUUUUGGGUCUCGUAAUUGGAAUGAGAACAAUUUAAAUCCCUUAACGAGGAACAAUUGGAGGGCAAGUCUGGUGCCAGCAGCCGCGGUAAUUCCAGCUCCAAUAGCGUAUAUUAAAGUUGUUGCAGUUAAAAAGCUCGUAGUUGAACCUUGGGUCUGGCUGGGCCGGUCCGCCUCAC